rnacentral:rRNA from 1 species
GACGAACGCUGGCGGCGUGCCUAAUACAUGCAAGUCGAGCGGACCAAACAGGAGCUUGCUCUUGUUUGGUUAGCGGCGGACGGGUGAGUAACACGUGGGUAACCUGCCCGUAAGACCGGGAUAACUCCGGGAAACCGGAGCUAAUACCGGAUAACACCGAAGACCGCAUGGUCUUUGGUUGAAAGGCGGCUUCGGCUGCCACUUACGGAUGGGCCCGCGGCGCAUUAGCUAGUUGGUGAAGUAACGGCUCACCAAGGCGACGAUGCGUAGCCGGCCUGAGAGGGUGACCGGCCACACUGGGACUGAGACACGGCCCAGACUCCUACGGGAGGCAGCAGUAGGGAAUCUUCCGCAAUGGACGAAAGUCUGACGGAGCGACGCCGCGUGAGCGAAGAAGGUCUUCGGAUCGUAAAGCUCUGUUGUUAGGGAAGAAGAAGCGCCGUUCGAACAGGGCGGCGCGGUGACGGUACCUAACGAGAAAGCCCCGGCUAACUACGUG